rnacentral:rRNA from 1 species
GACGAACGCUGGCGGCGUGCCUAAUACAUGCAAGUCGAACGAGAGCGACCGGUGCUUGCACUGGUCAAUCUAGUGGCGAACGGGUGAGUAACACGUGGGUAACCUGCCCAUCAGAGGGGGAUAACAUCCGGAAACGGAUGCUAAAACCGCAUAGGUCUUCGAGCCGCAUGGCUUGAAGAGGAAAAGAGGCGCAAGCUUCUGCUGAUGGAUGGACCCGCGGUGCAUUAGCUAGUUGGUGAGGUAACGGCUCACCAAGGCCGUGAUGCAUAGCCGACCUGAGAGGGUGAUCGGCCACAUUGGGACUGAGACACGGCCCAAACUCCUACGGGAGGCAGCAGUAGGGAAUCUUCCGCAAUGGACGCAAGUCUGACGGAGCAACGCCGCGUGAGUGAAGAAGGUUUUCGGAUCGUAAAACUCUGUUAUUAGAGAAGAACAAGUGCUAGAGUAACUGUUAGCGCCUUGACGGUAUCUAACCAGAAAGCCACGACUAACUACGUG